rnacentral:rRNA from 1 species
GACGAACGCUGGCGGCGUGCCUAAUACAUGCAAGUCGAACGCAGUGGGGACGGGUGAGUAACACGUGGGUAACCUCCCAUUAGCGGGGAUAACACUUGGAAACAGGUGCUAAACCGAUACUGAUGGAUGGACCCGCGGUGCAUUAGCUAGUUGGUGAGGUCACUGCGCACCAAGGCCACGAGGCAUAGCCGACGUGAGAGGGGGAUCGGCCCAACUGGGACUUGGACACCGCCCAGAAGCCUACGGGAGGACGCAGUAGGGAAUCUUCGGCAAUGGGGGGAACCCUGACCGAGCCACGCCGCGUGAGUGAGGAAGGUUUUCGGAUCGUAAAGCUCUGUUGUUAAGGAAGCGGUACUUAACCAGAAAGGGACGGCUAACUACGUGCCAGCAGCCGCGGUAAUAC